UGCACUUCAUUUCUCGGAGUCCGGUAAUAAAAUUUUAAUCCUCAAUUUAUUUUGUUUUAUUUUCCCUUUUUUGUAGAACAAGUAAUCAUUAACAGAUGCAAAAGCUAUGGGAUAAUUAAAUGUACAUGGCAUAUAGGUCAUAGGUAGUAACACUUACCAAUUCUCUCCAUUUAUACCUUUUCUUUUUAAAUCAUUAUCCAUAUUUAAAGGAUGACAAUGGAUUUCAAGUAUUGAUAAUAUGUCGUAAUCUCGAAGUUUUUACAUGGCUGUUUAGUUAACUUUGAUGCUGAUACAUUAUGCUAGAGAUGUGAAAUUGAUAAUUGUAUCCCAUCAUGUCUUCUUGUUUGUAGGGCUGCUAGUUGUUUUGUGAUGUUUAGGUUAUAACAGCACUAGUAACGCAAGUGCAUGCAUAGCCAUUCUCACAAAAUGAAAACAUAAAAAGUUCAUCCUUGUUUUGGGUAAUCAAAGACCAACUUACUAGCUUUCUUGUGAUUCCUAACCUGUCCUGUCAUCCUCCUCAAUCCCCAACUAGCGUUGUAUCUGCUUAAAGCUGGAUUUUUGGCUCAUACUUUUUCCCCUAGUUCAUGACUAUAUUUUUAUGAGGGAAUCAUUAAAAAAUUAAACUUGGUUAAAAAAUUAUGCAUUAUGUGCACAUUGCAUCUGAAGUGGGUGACCGACUUGGUUGCUUUAGGUUAUGUUUGUAAUAGUUGUCUAGUCUAGGCAAUGAGCUUGUAUCGGUCGUUCUUCAA
rnacentral:misc_RNA from 1 species